GAUGAACGCUGGCGGCGUGCUUAGCACAUGCAAGUCGAACGGGAAAUAUUUCAUUGAGACUUCGGUGGAUUUGAUUUAUUUCUAGUGGCGGACGGGUGAGUAACGCGUGGGUAACCUGCCUUAUACAGGGGGAUAACAGUCAGAAAUGGCUGCUAAUACCGCAUAAGCGCACAGAGCUGCAUGGCUCAGUGUGAAAAACUCCGGUGGUAUAAGAUGGACCCGCGUUGGAUUAGCUAGUUGGUGGGGUAACGGCCCACCAAGGCGACGAUCCAUAGCCGGCCUGAGAGGGUGAACGGCCACAUUGGGACUGAGACACGGCCCAGACUCCUACGGGAGGCAGCAGUGGGGAAUAUUGCACAAUGGGGGAAACCCUGAUGCAGCGACGCCGCGUGAAGGAAGAAGUAUCUCGGUAUGUAAACUUCUAUCAGCAGGGAAGAUAGUGACGGUACCUGACUAAGAAGCCCCGGCUAACUACGUG
rnacentral:rRNA from 1 species